CCAGAGCGAACGCAUGUGGCGAGUUGCAGAAAUAAACCAGAACGAGGAUGAUAAGUUGCUAGCACAUUAUUGUUGAACCAACGAAACCAACAAGUUUGUUGUAUUCUAAGCAAAACAGCCGUCGGCGAUGCUAAAUUAGGUGUAACGCGCCAACGACUUUCUCUCCCUGGCGCUUCGAGCAUGAAAAUUGGCCCCUGGCUGAUCACGUUCUAGCCCCAUGAUUUAGCAAAAGCUCGUAAGGAUAAGAGCCUGUGAACUAGGCAGAAAUUGAUACAUUUCAGCAGGAAAAAAAAUGCAUAUGCACCUAGGAAGUAAGUUUAUGACUCCAUCGCUCCCAUACGCUUCGAAUAUACCAAGUAUACCAAGUUUUGAUGCUUGUAUGUGAAAAUAUCAAUGAUAAAGCACAGAGCCGGGUUGAAAUACGGUGAGAUUUUGGGCAGACAUUCGGCAUCGAGACUCGAGAGAAAGCAUUGAGCCUGAACUGUCCAAGCACCCUCACAUUGAGGAGUUGUGACACUGUUUAAUCUUAUCACUCAGAUGUAACUGGUCACCGUCGACAAG
rnacentral:sRNA from 1 species